AUAACAUUAGCUGAUUAAAAAGCAAUGUAACAUUAUAAAUAAUUAAAAGGCUAAAUGUAUUUAAAUUAACUUAUAUGGACUAAAUUUACAAAAGUGAAACAAUUCAAGGGUCAAAAGUGU